GCCUCCUGCCGGGCGCAGGAGGAACAGCCGGCCCCUCUCUUGCUCCUGUCACUGCGGCGCCCUCUACACGGCCAUACACAGGCGGUCCCCAAGUUAUGAACAAGAUACAUUCUGCACUGCAAGCACGGCCAAGAAAUGAUUGGCACAGAUACUUGAAGAACGGAGCAGCCACAUUUUGCUUUGGCUAAUUUCUUCUUCUUCCUGACCUCUCUAGGUCCUCCGGUCCUAUACACGUAUGUAUGCUUCUGCCCUAUGAAUAGUUAAAAUAUAGGCUACCCUGUUAAGUGUGGAUACCGAGGUCAUACUGUAUUCACUAUAGCCACAGUUGGUUCACUUCUAUUUGCAGUAUGUCCAGUUAGAAUCAGACAUGUUAAUUACAAACAUUUAUUGAAUGACAUCAAAUAAGAUGGUUUUGUUAAUUGGUUUAUAUAUCAGAAGUGAUGAUAAAAUGCUAAUAAUAUACACAUUAUAUUUCUGUCUCUAUUGGAAAACCAUAGUUUCAUGCAGACUUUGACCUAAUUUCAAGACAGUGGGUGAACUCUGGCUGAUUUUUAGCCAAGCUAAUGUGGCUCUCAACAGGAAAAACAGGAGAGCAAGAAGGGAGUCAUCAUGCCUGAUUUAAAUAGCUGUAAGGUUAUGAAGUUUACUUAUCCAUAUCAGGUUGAAGUUACACUUGAUAUAGGACCACAAGUUUAGGAUUGCUGACCCAAGACAUUUCCGGUACUGGUUAAGUCACUUCCUUAAAAUUUGCGGAUGAGGCAGUGACUGAAGUGACACUCUAAGUUUGACUGUUGCCAUUAGGGACCACUUUGCACAGCUGUAUGUCAGGGAAGGAAAAAGUCUGAAUUUAUGGAAGAAAGCUGUUUAGGGAGACAUUUGGGUAAUGAUAGCUGCAAGGAGAUUUCUUUAAACCUAAGGAAGGACCCCAUUCAAUUUUUCAAAGCCUGGUGGCACAAAGAUUGCUGAUGGAAGGAGAGCAAGGCAGAAGCCAUCCUGUCCACCAUGGAAAGGGAUUCACAAAGACUGGGAGCAGUUACUGAGAAGUCCCUCUCCCUUGUUCCCAUCACAUGGACGAAGGAAGGCACUGGGACAAAGAUAUGGGCCUUUCCAGAGCUCUAACUGGCUCAUACAGGGAGAAUCGGUUCUCCAAAUAGACUGGACCUAAGCCAUAUAGGCUUAGGUCCAGCACUUACCAGGAUUUUUAAUUAUGUCUGGAAACAGACCAUGACCCAGUGGAGCUGCUGCAACAAGGAAGUUAUGCAUUCCCUGUAGCCAGCCCAUUAGCAAUCUGGCUCCAUUUGUUUGGAGCAAUUGAAGUUUCUGAACACAUUCCAAAGGCACAUUACAGUAAUCCAGAUGGGAUGUACCAAAGGCAUGUGUUACCAUGGCCAGAUCCAACUUCUCCAAUAUACUGUAGACUUGAUGCGCUGUGCAAAUGAACUCCUGGUCAUUACUGAAACUUGGGCAUCCAGAUUCAGAGAUGAAUGCAUGUGUGUAACUUAAAAUGUGAACCUGAAUUUCAAGGGGGUAUAGCUCCACCUGGGAAUUCCGUUUUCUAGAUCUGUCUUUCAGCAGACCAAAAGCACCUCCCUCUUGUCUUGAUUAAGUUUUAAUUUGCUUGCCCUCAUCCAGUACAUUAUAGCCUCUAGGCACCCAGUUAGCACAGGAGCAGCUUCCUUGGAAUUGGCUGCAAAGCAGUAAUGGAGUUGGAUAUCAUCAGCAUAUUGGUGACACUGACCUCAAAACCCCAGUCAACCUCUCCUAGAGGACAAGAAGGAAGCCUUUAGCACCACACUCUGAGAGUCUCCUCUGAGAAAGUAUGGAGCCAAUGUAGAACAGUACCUCCAAGCAGGAGGACCCGAUGGUGAUAAUACUGAAAGUCACUGAGAGGUCCAGCAGAACCAACAGGGAAGCACUCCUCCUGUCCCUUUCCCAGCACAGGUCAUCCAUCAAGGCAACCAAAGCUUGCCUCCAUCCCAUCCCAUAACUGGAACUGAAACCAAACUGAAAUGGAUCUGGAUAGUCCAUCUCAUCCAGGAAUCCCUGUGCUCUAGUGCAGUGCUUCUCAAACUGUACUCUUUGAGGUGUUUUGGAUUUCAGCUCUUUGAAAGCAUACCCAGCUUCCCAGCUAUUAGGAAUUGUGGGAGCUGAAGUCCAAAACAUCUGCGGGAGCACAGUUUGAGAAACUCUGCUCUAGUGCAUUGCCCAAAAGUUGGGGACUGGUCUAUAAUAAUCCAGUAUAGCAGGACAUACUAGUGAGGUUUUUUAAUGAUCUUAGAGUAGCCUCUUUUGAGACAAGUUGGGAUUCUACCUUGUCAUCCAAUGAAAUCAGUCACUCUCCUUACUUCUUCGGCCAAUUGUCUCCAUGAAGAGCAAAAGUCCAACAUUCUUGUAGUGGCUCUUGCCUUUCUAAGGAUCCUAUCCCCAUCCUCAGUCUUCCUAAAUUGAAAAGCAUUCAUCAAAACUGGGCAAGCAGAGGCCAAAUUAACAUCCACUGGACCUUUUAUCAUCAUUUUCUCUAUGAUUAUUAUUAUUACUACUAUGAUUACCUUUAUUUAUAUCCUGCCUUUCUCUCCAUGGGGACUCAAGGCAAGUAACAUCUAGCUACACAAUACAGUUUAAAAAGAGCAAUAUAAAAGUUAAAAACAAUUAAAUAGUAACAGUGUGGUAAAAACAGAAUUACAAUACAGUGUAACCAUUUUAGUUGAUUAUCAGACAAUAGCAAAACAUGCUAUCCUUUGUUUUAACCCAGCAAGUGACUGAAACCUUGCUGGACUGUUUUGUCAGGUGGUAAAGAAAAAGUGUGUGUAAAAUGGAUCUAUAUAUUAAUUGAACCAUAUUUAUUCAUAUUGAUAUAGGAAAACAAUAAUAGACAGCUAUAAAUAUAUAAACAUUAUUUUUAGUUCCCAUCUGCUGCCAAACUAUCCACAAUUAGUAAAUGCAGUACACUUCCUAGUCUAGAGACCACUCUUCAGAAUACAUCAAUGAAAGUUAAAACACAUGCUUUGGGGGAUACAUCUGCUCUUGAUCUGCAGCAUUCUGCAGUCAACACAAAUAUUUUUGCUAUUUUCCCUUUAACUAUUAGUAAUCAGCAAGUCAGGGGUGUGAUGUAAUGGAAGAGCAAGAAAAAGAAGGGGUUUGAUAAAGAUGGGAAGGGAAAAGAAAAAUAUUAGGCUACUAAGAAACUGGCAAAACCACCUCUAUAUACUCUUGCUGAAGAAAAUUCAAGGGGUCACCAUAAAUGGACAGUUGAUGCACAGCCAAAUUGGCCUAGCUGUGGAAUAUUUACUUAUAAACAAACAAAUAAAUACUCCAGGUAACCCUAACUCAAAUCAUAAAGAGUAAGCAAGUUUUGGAGGACAAAGGCAGAUAGAUCUUGGUAUUAAUUACAUUUUCCCUAUAGGACCCACUGUAUUCUACUUAGGUCUGAGAAAAUUAUCGCAAGUACUACUCUAAAUACAAACAAUCCUGACUUUGUACAUUCAAAUGUUAUUACACACAACAACUUGUAACCAGUACCCAUACAAUAUUAAUUCUGAAAGAAAAAAUAAUGUAUUAUAGACAACUUGUUUUGCAAUGUGAAAAAUAACCAUGAAGCCUGCUGUCUGGGAAUAAUUUGCAAGCGAAUGCAACAAAUGUGAAAGAAAAAUGUUGUAAUGUAAGCAAUUAGCUUCAGAUCUGUGACACAUUUGUUGCACUCAAGAGCUUUUGUCCAGCCACAUUUCAAGAAUGCCUGCAUUUCCCAUCCAAAAUACGCUUUCCGCAUCAUACUCUCUAAUUGUACUAAUAAAUACUGUAUUGUAUUGACAUGUUUCAGACAUUGGGGAACAAUAUGUCACAUUCUUUGUUGGCCAUACUUUUGAGACUGGGAUGAAGAGAAAUGCAUACAAGAAACGGAGAGCAAAGAAAACAUGGGAGGCAAAACAUGCUCCAUUUAUCCUUCCCUUGUUGCUGAGCUCUUUUCUGUGUAAAGAUAGGUAAAGGUUUUCACCUGACAUUAAGUCUAGUUGUGUCCGACUCUGGGGGUUGAUGCUCAUCUCCAUUUCUAAGCCAAAAAGCCAGCAUUGUCUGUUAACACCUCCAAGGUCAUGUGGCUGGCAUGACUACAUGGAGCACUGUUACCUUCCUGACAGAGAGGUACCUAUUAAUCUGUUCACAUUUGCAUGUUUUCAAACUGCUAGGUUGGCAGAACCUGGGGCUAACAGUGGGCACUCACCCCGCUCCUCAGAUUCAAACCACCAACCUUUUAGUCAGAUUAGAUUAGUGAGAACCAAUAUGUUAUAGUGGUUUGUGUUGGACUACAAGUCUGGAGGUCACGGUUCAAUUCCCUCCUUGGCCAUGAAAACCCACUGGCUGACUUAAGUUGAGUCACACACUCUGUCUCAGAAAACCCCAUAGAGAUUACCAUAAGGUGGUAACAAAUAGAAGACCCACAACAACAAAAUCUUAUAAUGCAAUAGAAAUGGGGAAGCCAUCAAUCCCUUAUGGAUUUUUAUGGGAAUUGAAACAAAGCCCCAUCUAAAGAAAGGAGAGGGGGGAGAGGAAAACUUGCAUUAUGAAAAAACAAUGGAAGAUGUGGGUAAUCCUGAGGGUUUGGAAUUUUAGUAAGCAAUCUGACCAUCUGAAAUACCACUGCAACAUAAAGUUGGCUUUGCUGUGGUGAGAUAGUCAGUCAUCUGGUGUGCAGCACUAAGGAUUUGUAAACAAGGAACAGAAAUCAGGGAUUCGAGGAAGGCGGGCUGUUUUUAAUCCUUCAUCCUCUCCUAUUAAUCCCUUUCCUGUUAUUGUUCUUUCAAGUAUGAAAGGGGCUGUUAUAACAAUAUUAUAUAAUCAGAUGUAGAAACCUUCUCAUUGACAGAACCCAAGAAUGACUCAAUAAUUCCUUCAGAUGUUAACAAGCAGAAUGUAUAGUGCAAAGUAGAUAUUAAAUGGUCAAAGACAUUUCCUAAAAUAUGUUUUUUAACAGUUGCAAGCUAUACAAAAGCCCCUUUGUACUCCUCCUUUUCUCCAUUACAUUUCAAACUAUAAAACAAAGUAUUAUUAUCACAUCUCUGUCACUUUAAACUAUUAAGAUAAAGACUCAAGUUUAUUUUUCCCACUUGAUGAAGUUAUCAUAGUUGCUGUACAGAGGAGGGAUUUCUCUAUUGCAGUACUAAUCAUCGGACUAAUCUCCCCAAAAAGGCUAAGCAGGUUGCCAGUAUAAGUUGUUUCCAGGGCCAAUUGCUUAUUGUUUACCCACACAUGGCUAAUUUGCCAGUAAUAAUAUAGUAGUCCCUCCACAAAGUCCCCACAAAAGUGGAGGAACUUUGAAUAUAAAUACAAAUAAAAAUGAUACUUUUUAUGCCUGAGACAACAUUUCUCAGGGCAUUUGCACAAUAAUGCUGGAGGGCCUACAAAUGUGUAGGGCAGGAGUGGAGAACAUUUGGCCUGGGGUUCCCUAGACCAUUUGUUCUGGCCUUUCAUCUCCCACACAGUUACUAACCAAGUCCUUAUUUAGAUCUGGUGCCUUUAACACUACUCGCAAAAACCAAAUCUCAGAGGAAGAUUAAGGAAAUUGCAGGACAUAGAAAAGGGCGCUUCCAUUUUAAAAUGCAAAUGUGAUAUUGUCCAUCUUAAAUAGUAUCAAAUAUCCUAGAAAAAUUGGGGAGAAGACAUUGGAUUGAACCCUCUUCCUUCUCUUGACAAAAGCUUCCCAACAGAGCAAUAAUGUCAAUUUCUUCCUCAUAACCCUGCUGAAAUGGAUCUUGAUCGUUAGUUUUUAUUAAAGACUGACUUUGGUUGUGGAUUCCCCACUUUCUUGGUCAUCUAUCUAAGAGAGAGGUUGUUGGCUACACUAAUAUCAUCUGAGUCUAGGCUUUGUUCCUUCGACAAUGUUCAAACAGUUCCUUCUUUUAAGGAAGUUGGAACCACUCCUGUUGUCAAAUGAGGCAUGUAUGACUUCCUGGAUACAAACCAAAAUCAUUCUCCCUGUUAUAUUUAUUAAACCACAAAAGGGUGGGACAAGCAUGCAAAUCCAUGUCCAGAAAUUAAAAAAAAAAAACCCUUUACAUCUUUGAGCGCCAAACUCAUCAAUGACUAAAGCUGAACAUGGUGCUCUAGUUGAAACAGUUCACAUUUUGUGUAUGUGGUUGUUCAUGAUGAAUAUAAAUAAUUUAACUCCCAAAGAGUCUCAAAAAUGCAUCAUGACAUGCUACUGAGAGUUGUCUUUCACCUUCCUCAGAUGAAGUUCCAAAAGUCCUUCUGCUAUCCAUAUAAGAAACAAUUAUUGAAAUGGACAGGAUGCAACAGUAGAAAAGAACUAUUUAUUUGACUCUUCACCACCACUACCUGCGCCUUUGAUGAAUGGGACCUCUCGCAUCGGAAGGAAAAUCUGCAUGUCUACAGCCAAACCCAUCCUCUGUCAUUUUUGCAUGAUUGUAUUAAUAUAUGAUGUUUUGUUUCACUUGGGUCUGGAAUCGCCAGCCAGCCCUAUUAAGGGGCCAUGCCAUGUUCAUCUCAGAAGACAAUAGCAUUCCUGGGUAGAGCCAGAAAAUGCCCUCAAUCGCUUUGUUAUUUUUCCUGUUCAGUAAAAGGAGCCCCAUUCAUUGACACUUAAUUAUCCUUUGUUCCCAGCCCACACUGGCCAGUGACUGUGACUGGUCAGAAUUAGAGGCUUGGCUGCAGCCUAUGUCUAAAAAGGGCUAUGAAACUGUAUUCUGUAUGCAGAUACAUACUUUGUGAAUGUAUCAUUAGCUAGCAUCUUAUCUGCAGAUAAUAAAAUCUUCCUUGGCUGAAAAUCACCUUCUCUCUUUGCUUGCUGGCUAAUUUCAAUUGGGCCUAAUCUGUUUGCUCCCCAUAGCAGGGACUCACUCAAAUUGGGCAGCUCAGGCAAAUUACUUGCCUGGGUUUCUGCCAACAGGCAUCUCCCUGGUCUCACUGCCAGAGGUUGCCUCCUAAAAUGGGGCCAAUAACUGAUACAGAUACAAAGUAGGACCUACUCUAUUGUGGGUCCACCAUGUGAAAUAGGGGUACCUCUACUCUGUAGAUGUAAUGCAGUUUGACAAGACUUUAACUGUCAUGGCUCAAUGCUAUAGUUUUACAAGGUCUUUAGCUUUCUCUGCCUAACAGUGCCAGUGUCUCACCAAAAAAGAAACUCCAGAAUUUUAUAGUAUUGAGCCAUGGGAGUUAAAGUGUGAUCAAGAUAUUAUUUUUACAGUGUAGAUGCACCCUGAAUUUCUUUGUUAAAACCAUGUAGAUUUCCACUGUGUCAUGUUUCCAUCAUCAAGAGAAAUAAAAGUAUUGGAUUACCUGAGAAUUUUUCUGAUAACUUCCUUAUUCCUAUCUGUAUUACCUAGCAAUAUUUUAAAAUUAAUAUCUGUAUAAUGGAAUCUACUGGUGGGUUUUAUCUGUUUCAUUUUGUAUCUGCGGACUACUUUGUGGGGAAAUUAAAUUUAGUAGAGCAAUGUUUUGAAAGGCAAAGCCCGACCAGGGACAAUGAAAUAAAUGUGUUUGGAGGUUGUGCUA